AUGCUUAAAGCUAUUGUGUGAUAAGGUAAGGGAAAAAACUGAUGUUACCUUACUAAAAGUGUUGUCCAAACUGGUGCCAAACACUCGGUAAGACCAGAAACGCAAACGUUAAUCGUCCUAAUCAGGCGUAAAGGGUUCGUAGCUGCUUUUAAAAUUUUUAUUUAAAUACUCUUAUUUUGUUUUAUUGUAUUGCUUUUAACAAUAACAAUAAGAAAAUAUAAAAUAAGUUAAAUAAAAUAUAAUAAAGCUAGAAUCAAUUUAGGAUAUGAAAAAUGCUUAGUGUAGGGAUGGUAUCCGCAGAUAUUAAGUGGAAUACUAAUGGCGAAAGCUUSUAUUUGUUAAUGAUUGACGCUGAGGAACGAAGGGAGAAUAGGAAAUGGAUUUGGUACCCAGAUACCUCUUACUGUCAACGAUGAAUGGUAGUUAGUCAGUUUUAAAACAAAUUGGUAACGAUGUUAACGCGAUAACCAUUUCCGCCUUGCGAGUACGGUUGCAAAACUGAAACCAAAAAAAUU
rnacentral:rRNA from 1 species